rnacentral:rRNA from 1 species
GAUGAACGCUGGCGGCGUGCCUAAUACAUGCAAGUCGAGCGAACAGACGAGGAGCUUGCUCCUCUGACGUUAGCGGCGGACGGGUGAGUAACACGUGGAUAACCUACCUAUAAGACUGGGAUAACUUCGGGAAACCGGAGCUAAUACCGGAUAACAUGUUGAACCGCAUGGUUCAACAGUGAAAGACGGUCUUGCUGUCACUUAUAGAUGGAUCCGCGCCGCAUUAGCUAGUUGGUAAGGUAACGGCUUACCAAGGCAACGAUGCGUAGCCGACCUGCGAGGGUGGUCGGCCACACUGGAACUGAGACACGGUCCAGGCUCCUACGGGAGGCAGCAGUAGGGAAUCUGCCGCAAUGGGCGAGAGCCUGACGGAGCAACGCCGCGUGAGUGAAGAAGGUCUUCGGAUCGUAAAACUCUGUUAUUGGGGAAGAACAAAUGUGUAAGUAACUGUGCACGUCUUGACGGUAACUAAUCAGAAAGCCACGGCUAACUACGUG